rnacentral:rRNA from 1 species
UUAACGCUGGCGGCAUGCCUAAUACAUGCAAGUUGAACGAGAGUAGCAAUAUUCUAGUAGCGAACGGGUGAGUAACACGUAUCCAACCUACCUUCAUGUAAGGAAUAACUAGUUGAAAAAUUAGCUAAUACCUUAUAGCAACAUUAAACAUAAGUUUUUUGUUUUAAAGAUCCGUUAGGAUCGCUUGAAGAUGGGGGUGCGGUGCAUUAGAUAGUUGGCGGGGUAAUGGCCCACCAAGUCGAUGAUGCAUAGCUGUACUGAGAGGUAGAACAGCCACAAUGGGACUGAGACACGGCCCAUAUUCCUACGGGAAGCAGCAGUAGGGAAUUUUCCACAAUGGGCGAAAGCCUGAUGGAGCAAUGCCGCGUGAGUGAUGACRGCCCUCUGGGUUGUAAAGCUCUUUUAUUAGGAAAAAAUAAACAUGCUAGGAAAUGAGCAUGUYUUGAUUGUACCUUUUGAAUAAGCAACGGCUAACUAUGUGCCAGCAGCCGCGGUAAUACAUAGGUUGCAAGCGUUAUCCGGAUUUAUUGGGCGUAAAGCAAGCGCAGGUUGGUUAUCAAGUCUAGUGUGAAAGGCAAUUGCUUAACAAUUGUUUGCAUUAGAAACUGCUAACCUAGAAUACAGUAGGGAGUUCUGGAAUUCAAUGUGGAGCGGUGGAAUGCGUAGAUAUAUUGAAGAACACCAGUGGCGAAGGCGAGAACUUGGGCUGUUAUUGACGCUUAGGCUUGAAAGUGUGGGGAGCAAAUAGGAUUAGAUACCCUAGUAGUCCACACUGUAAACGAUGGAUAUUAGUUGUUGGGGCUAGAGCCUCGGUGACGUAGCUAACGCAUUAAAUAUCCCGCCUGGGUAGUACAUUCGCAAGAAUGAAACUCAAAGGAAUUGACGGGGACCUGCACAAGUGGUGGAGCAUGUUGCUUAAUUCGACAAUACACGAAAAACCUUACCCAGGUUUGACAUCCCUUGCAAUGUUAUGGAAACAUAUACGGAGGCUAUCAAGGUGACAGGUGGUGCAUGGUUGUCGUCAGCUCGUGUCGUGAGAUGUUUGGUUAAGUCCCGCAACGAGCGCAACCCCUAUCUUUAGUUAUGUGUCUAAAGAGACUGAAGCGAAAGCUAUAGGAAGGUGGGGAUGACGUCAAAUCAUCAUGCCCCUUAUGCCUGGGGCUGCAAACGUGCUACAAUGGUUGGUACAAAGUGUGCAAUGCAGCAAUGCAAAGCUUAAUCACAAAAGCCAAUCUCAGUUCGGAUUGAAGGCUGCAACUCGCCUUCAUGAAGUUGGAAUCACUAGUAAUCGCGUGUCAGCUAUAUCGCGGUGAAUACGUUCUCAGGUCUUGUACACACCGCCCGUCAAACUACGAGAGGUAAGUAUGUCUAAAACCGCAAAAUUAACCUGCAAAGUGGAAUAUGCGUCUAGGAUAGAUUUACUGAUUGGAGUUAAGUCGUAACAAGGUACCCCUACGAGAACGUGGGGGUGGAUCACCUCCUUUCUUUGGAAUUAAAGUUUUUAACUUUUUAGUUAAAAAAUUAAUACAAAUAUAGUGUACUUUUU